rnacentral:rRNA from 1 species
UGAGGAAUAUUGGUCAAUGGACGAGAGUCUGAACCAGCCAAGUAGCGUGCAGGAUGACGGCCCUAUGGGUUGUAAACUGCUUUUGUUUGGGAAUAAUCGACAUUACGUGUAAUGUUUUGCAUGUACCAUACGAAUAAGGACCGGCUAAUUCCGUGCCAGCAGCCGCGGUAAUACGGAAGGUCCAGGCGUUAUCCGGAUUUAUUGGGUUUAAAGGGAGCGUAGGCUGUUUGUUAAGCGUGUUGUGAAAUGUAAGAGCUCAACUUUUAGAUUGCAGCGCGAACUGGCAGACUUGAGUGCGCACAACGUAGGCGGAAUUCAUGGUGUAGCGGUGAAAUGCUUAGAUAUCAUGACGAACUCCGAUUGCGAAGGCAGCUUACGGGAGCGCAACUGACGCUAAAGCUCGAAGGUGCGGGUAUCGAACAGG